GUAUCUUUUUCUGUUCAUAGGUGGGCUUGUAUACACUCAGGAAAAAAAAGCAUGAAGAUUUAUAGGAUGCAUGAGCAGCCCUACUGAAUAAGGCACAGCCUGCAGCCAGCAGGGUGAUUUCAGCUAUUCAGCAGACCAGCUCUUGCCCACCCUGUGUUGAAACAUUCCCAUGUUUAACAGCAACUGAAGACACAUUUUGAUUAAUUGGACCUUAAGACCUUAAGCCAGACAGGAAUGAAGUCCUGGAGGACGGUCACCGUUUCCGAUGCGGAACAAAGCCUGGCCUCACAGCAGGUGCUCAGCCGGUUGCUUGGCCCUUUGCCAGUUUGACUGCAGCUUGCACAUCCUAGGCAUCUGUACAGACGUUUGGAAGUGCAUUUCAUUUUCCAUCAAAGAAUCGUUGGAUAAAAUGAGUAARACCAGUGGGAUUAGGGAGCUAAAUCUAGGUCUUCUCCUCAAGGUAAUCUUUCUUAUGAAUGCCUAA
rnacentral:lncRNA from 1 species